GGAAUUUCUGACUCUGUCCCCCUCCUUUGCCCUGAACUGGCCUCACCUAGUCUCCUGCUGCUUAUGUGAACCAUGCUCUGAGUGGUACCUGAAGCAUGCCACACAAGGAAGGAGGGCAGCCACCACCUCUUAUCUCACAUUCCCUGCUUCAACCCCAGUCCCUCCACUGGGAGGGAAUCAGGGGAAAUAUAGGGAAGAAGAGAGGAGAAGAAAUAAGAUUGGACCUAUAAUCUCUAAAGAUAACAGAACUGAGGCACAGAUUGGUUAAGUAGCAUGCCUGAAGUUACACAGCCUGUAAGAGCAAAGCUGGAUUGCAAACCAGAUCUGGUGACUACAAACUCUGGCCUCUGGCUUGAUUUUCUGCCAUGUUCCUGGUGAUCAGCCUCAACAGAAGCCCAGCUCUGUCCUGAUGGCCUUUCCUGAUUUCUACCAGCUGUGAGCUCCUCAAGCCUUGGUUUGCUUCCCUCGAGCCUUGACGACUACUUCCCAGCCCAGCCUCUGAUUUACAAUCUCUGGCUCCAAUCCUGCCCACAUCUUGAUGAGACACAACAAAGAUGAUCUGCAACUGAGAUUUGAACCUUGUUUGGGCUACAGUGUUGGGAUGCAUUUGGGUGGAACAGGAGAAAUAAUCCUCAAUGAAGCCUCAUGGGUUGGAGUCAUACUUCUCUAGGAUUAACUGAUAUUUACUGGUGAUCUGUCUUUCCUCUAUUAAACAGGGCCACCUGGUAAGACCCUCUACUCUCAAUGCUUUGGACUGCAUCUCACCUAGUUCAAUGGUUUUCAAUGCUGG
rnacentral:lncRNA from 1 species